GCCCGCCUUAACCCCUACGACGCCAUUGUAGUGGCAAGCAGGGAGAGCCGGUCCAGGUGUACUGCCUCACCGGACAGCCCUUCCCGCUUUCCUAGUCCGGUGAUCCUUGAGAGGAAGUCCAGCCCUGCUGUAACCGCUGAGAAGGGCAAAGCACCAGAAUUGACCUGGAGUCGGCAAGUGGACACCUUUAGGAGAGGAGGAUCCUGCACAUUGUCAAUUCUGAGUUAAAGCUUUCACGGAUCUAGAAGGCACUGUGCAAGCUUCCAAAGGAAGGAAGCAACCAACAGUCAGUCCUACCCAGCUGUGAUGCCCAUGAAGCACAGCAGUGACCAACAGUCAGUCCUACCCAGCCGUGAUGCCCGUGAAGCACAACAAUGACCAACAGUCAGUCCUACCCAGCCGUGAUGCCCAAGAAGCACAACAAUGACCAACAGUCAGUCCUACCCAGCCGUGAUGCCCAUGAAGCACAGCAAUGACCAACAGUCAGUCCUACCCAGCCGUGAUGCCCAUGAAGCACAGCAAUGACCAACAGUCAGUCCUACCCAGCCGUGAUGCCCUUGAAGCACAGCAAUGACCAACAGCACCCACUAAGGGUGCAGAGCUCUGAUGUAUGGUCACUGUCUUCUGAUGUUCCUUCUGACCUAAGUGUGGGCAGCCCUUGGAACUCCCCAGAAACCCAGUGAGAAGUAGAGAAUCAGCCCUUGCCCUCUGAAGAGAUAUAGGUGGGAUGAACAUAGGGAACCCUAACUCAGAGGUCAAAGGGACUGUCCUGGCAGUCUCAGAGGUGACCAUGUGUUGGAAUCACAGACUACAGACACUUGAGCUCACUUGAGGGAUUUUUGAUCUCCUCCAGUCUACCAUGGAGUCCUGCUCUGAGAUGGAGUAGACCACAGUAAGGCCCAGAACCCCUCAGCUUCAGAUCCAGAAAUUUGUGCCUGCCUUCAUUAUCACCACAACCCUAAAGAGGGGCCCAAGCCUUGAAGACUUCACCUAGAAGUACCUAGGGCUCCAGAGCCAGUAGGCAGUCAUCUACCCAUGAUUCCAUUGAAGACCAGAACUGCAUCCAGCCAUCUUCAGACCUCCAGCGAGUCCUUGCAAUGUGUCUUAUGUGCUGAUGUACUGUGUGUCUCAACACAUGCCACUGUGACCAGCUGGCUGGUCAGAACUGGACCAACCUGUGGUGUUUGGGUAGCCAGGAUUCCCAGAGGACACCAAAGUUUGCUAUAGUAACCAGGCACAGGAGCAUGAGGCAGGGUCUGCCUACCAGGAUUCCUUUAAUCCCAGCCUGGGGCUGAUUCUCACAUUUGUCCUGUCUCAGUCUAAUGAGUUUCCUUAGUUUUCCCAAUCCUAAGAGGACUAAGUGUGAAAACUUCCUGUGACUGACUCAGUCUACCUGAUCCAUCUUGUCAAUAAUGGUGGCCCCAGGAAAGACCUAGAAUUGGCCAGAUGUCUAGGAGAAACCUAGUGUCCUUGGAUAGAGUCAUCAGACAAAAUACAAGAAUUUCAAAUCACAA